AACGAACGCUGGCGGCAUGCCUAACACAUGCAAGUCGAACGAGACCUUCGGGUCUAGUGGCGCACGGGUGCGUAACGCGUGGGAACCUGCCCUUAGGUUCGGAAUAACUCCCCGAAAGGGGUGCUAAUACCGGAUAAUGUCUUCGGACCAAAGAUUUAUCGCCUUUGGAUGGGCCCGCGUUGGAUUAGCUAGUUGGUAGGGUAAAAGCCUACCAAGGCGACGAUCCAUAGCUGGUUUGAGAGGAUGAUCAGCCACACUGCGACUGAGACACGGCCCAGACUCCUACGGGAGGCAGCAGUGGGGAAUAUUGGACAAUGGCCGAAGGCCUGAUCCAGCAAGGCCGCGUGAGCGAUGAAAGCAUUAGGGUUGUAAAGCGCUUUUACCCGGGAUGAUAAUGACAGUACCGGGAGAGAAAGCUCCGGCUAACUCCGUG
rnacentral:rRNA from 1 species